rnacentral:lncRNA from 1 species
UGUUAUUGGACGAUAUCGAGAUAACAUUUCAGAACUGCAGACUGCAUAUAGAGAUGAAAUUGCAAUGUGAAGCAAAUGUGGACAUUGCUGGCCUCCAUGACCAGACUAGCAGGAAAAGUGCCAACACCCCCGUUGAGGUUUGCCCCUAAAUUGGGAUUCAUUGUUUGACGUGCCAAAUGUGUGAGAAACACAUGCAGGACCUUGAGGCUUCAGGUGGACUGUAGAUUAUCGAUCACACUUCACCUCCUACUAUCCACUGUAUUUCCCUAAGACAUCGCUAUGACUAUGGCGGGUGUCAAGCCGACGACGGCUCACAACAACAGCCCACAACAACGGCCCACAACAACGGCGAUGGCAGAGGAGGCAACAAUCACAGCAAUGGUAGGACGGUCGUCAAAAGAAAUGCGAAAAUGCCGUGCGGGCCAUCCAGUCGACUCGCUCGUUUUGAGAAAAGCCCAACGAACCGAUUAACGACAUGUCUUACGUAUUUUGAAUGCUUGGACACGAUCAUGGAGAAAUCUAAGAGCCCGGGCGAUGGAAUGACCGGCAUCGCUAACAAUGCCAAGAAAUCCGAACACGAGCCAUUUGGCGAAGCUGUCAAAGACGUUUCGAAUGCCAUUACUGGACUUGUCGAGGCUGCUCUAACAAGCCGCGUACCUAGUUGGUGUCUCUGAUCCGUCAAGCGUAGCCGGAGGAUCUGGUUUGGUCGAUCAAACAGCCUUUGCCAGAGCUUCACAGGCCAUUCAGUCAGCCUGUCACGCACUGUCCACGUCCAGUCCCAGCAGCACACAGCAACAAGUUCUGUCUGCCGCUACGGUUAUCACCAAGCACACCAGUUCUCUGUGCCACGCCUGCAGAGUGGCCAAAGACGACAAAUCCGGUGGCCAAAAAACACUUCGUCCAAUCAGCCAAGGAUGGGGCCAAUUCGACGGCUAAAUUGGUCAAGGAAAUCAAAGCCCUGGACCAGGAUUACAGCCAGCGCAAUCGCGAUAACUGCGCCGCUGCAACUCAGCCUCUCAUCGGAGUGGUCGAGAAUUUGUGCACGUUCGUCAACUCACCCGACUUUGCCUCCAUCCCGGCUAAAAUUUCACCAACCGCCUGCCAGGCCCAAGAACCCAUUACUUCAGCCGGCAAAUCCAUCAUUGACGGUUCCUGCUCGAUGAUUUCGGCAGCCAAGUCGCUGGCCCUCAACCCCAAAGAUCCACCCACUUGGCAAGCUUUGGCCAAUCACAGCAAGAGCGUCUCCGAUUCGAUCAAUAAACUGGUAUCUUCCAUCCAUGAUAAGUUGCCAGGAUAGAAGGAGUGCGAUGAUGGCAUCUCCAUCAUGUCGAAUUGUGUCCAUCAGCUGGAUCAAGCUUCGCUGUCUGCCAUAUCUCAGAACCUGAGCCCCCGUCGAGAGAAAUCGGCCCAGGCCUUUGCUGAACAGACAACCAACUGCGCUAUGGAAAUCGCGGAUCGCAUCGACAGCGUCCGCUCUGCCGCUAAAGGAGAAGCCAAAAAACUUGGUCACGCGGUCACCCAAAUAUCCCAUUACUUUAAGCCGAUGGUGAUCGCCGCCACUGGAUCUGCACAGCAAAUGAUGAUGCUUGAUCAAUCCAAGACAGUCAGUGAAUGCGCCGUUCAGCUUGUUCUCGUCGCCAAGGAAGCCGGAGGAAAUCCCAAAGCUGUUCAAGUUAAUACGGAUCUUGACGAAUCUGCCGAGUCCAUGAAGGAGGAUCAACGCGACUUGCUGUCGACAGUCGAGACGGUGGCCACCGAGGCCGGUGUGAUUUCUGGGCUCGUAUACUCAAUUACCGUUCCAUGAAUCAAAUGGAGAGCCGGGCGCAAACGGGCUCUUCUGGGGAUGAAGCCGACGGUACUAGUUUUGUUGAUUACCAAACACGAAUGGUUCAGGCCACCAAAGAAAUUGCUCGACUAUCCAUAUAGACACCGUUAUGAC